AUUAUAAUACUAUUUUUCCUUUUGUUUUCCUCAUUCUUGAAAAAAAGUGUUUCUUACUGUUAUGUUAUACCUAACAUCUACCCAGUUCAUAGUAUUUGGUGUUAUUCAAAAAUUAACAAUUGCUGAAUGAAUGAAUAAAUGAAUGAGUAAAUGAAUGAAUAAAUGAUUCAUACUAAUCAUGUUCUCAAAUUAAGUAUUUAGCGUCACCCAGAGCUAAAUUGAUAUUUGAUUCUGGAAUCUUGAGGAAGUUGACGUAUAGAACAACUUUGAUUUCCAGAUAUCCUACAUUUGAAAUGAACAAUAUGAUUAUCAAAAUCAUUAAUUUUUUUCAGUUUUGGUAGUAAUAAUUAAUAUUAAAUAACAAAGUAGUCAUGUAUUUACUUAAACAUUUUGUUAUAAUUAGAAAAUCUGAUGUAGACAUAUAUUUUUGUGACUAAAGUUACAAAAUACAUAAGCAGUCUAAAUAUCUGAUACAUGCAUAUGGUGAAAAGUUCUUGAACACAUUUUGAUUCCAAUACAAUCCCAUCAAGGUUGCAUAUACCAAUGCCAUCUCACUCUAGUCCAAGUGAUCAAUUUCAGUUCACAACUGAUCAUAAUGAUAGGAAUAAGAGUCAAAGGGAUCACACAAACAAGAUUAGUGUCUGCUAAUACUAACUGAUAGAAUAAAAAAGGGAGAUAAUGAUCCAACAUGGGAGGUGGGAUACACAGCAGACUCAUAGAAUGGCAGAUGUCCUAAAUAGCACUCUGGCCUCAGAAUCAGCCCUCAAGGCAUUCGGAUCUGGCUGAAGAGUCCAUGAGAGUAUUGUAGGCAUGGAAAGCCAAGACACUCUGGCAAAAAAACAAAAAAACAAAACAAAAAAAAAAAACAAACAACCAACCAGACAGACCAAUAUGAAAGAUCUCUGCGAGUGACAUCCCAGUGGAAAGAACAGGCCAUCAAAGAAGGAAGUACCUUUCUCUGAAGGGAGGAGAGAACUUCCACUUUGACUAUGACCUUGUCUAAAUAAGAUCGAAGCUGGCGAACUCAAAAGACUUCCAUAGCCUUGGCAACUCAUGACUAGAGCCUAGGGAGAUUACUGACGCCAUAAACAAGAGUGUCAAUUUGUUAAGUCAACAACAGGAGUCACUGUGCACUUACUCCUCAUGUAGGAUCUCUGUCCUUAAUGUGCUGUACAUUGAGAUUUAAUGCUAUAACUAGUACUGAAACAGUAUUUUACACUUUAUGUUCUGUGUGGGUGCAAACUGAUAAAAUCUUUACUUAAUAUAUACUAAAUUGAUCUUCUGUAUAUAAAGAGAAUUGAAAAUGAAUCUUGAUGUGAAUGGAAUGGGAGAGGGAGCGGGAGAUGGGAGGGGUGUGGGUGGAGGGAAGUUAUGGGGGGAAAAAGCCUUUGCAAUCCAUAAACUGUACUUUGGAAAUUUUUAUUUACUAAAUAAAAGCUAAAAGAGUUGUAUUUUAAGAUAUAAAACCACUGAACAUUACAUUUACAUUUAUGUUGCUGUGUUUAAAUUUCCAAGAAAAAGUGCCUGAAAUAUUAUAUGCUAAUCUAGGGAGGAAACUGGAGAUUGGAAUUUGGGGAAAUAGAUAAAGGUAUUUAAUUUUCAUGUGCUGUUAAUAAUUUUAAGAAAUAAUACAAUAUGUGCUAAUUGUAUAAUUAAAAUAGACUUGUAAGAUGAAUGAAAAUUGGCUUGAGAACAACAUGCAUUUGAAUUUUCCCUCUAAUCCUUAUUAGCAUGUAAUUUUGAAUAAAUUAUUCUUUGUAUUUUUUUGAUUAAUAAUAUUUUGUCACGUGAAUUUUUUUAGUAUAUUCAAUUUUAUCAGUCCUUUCAAUUGAUUCCUGCUUCUUCUUACUUACUAAAUCUUUCCCUUCAUGUGAGAAAAUACAACCUUAUUUUUCUAUCAGUUUUAAAACUUUGUAUUUCAAAAUUAGGAUAAAUCUAUAUAUAAUUUUAUGUAGGUUUGAUAUAGGGGUAUGCUUUGAUUUUAUACAUAUAAAGAAUUCAUUUAUUAGAUAAUCCGUUUUCCACUGAUUUUUAAAACACCUCAAUCACAUAUCAGUAUCCCAUAUUUGGGUGGCUCUUCUGCACUUUCUCUUUUGUUGCAUUAUUUGUUAUUGUACUGAUUACUCACUUUGUUAGUCUGAUUUAACAAUACAUUGUAUCUGAUAAACAGGUCCCCCUUCUUCUUCUAAGUGAUGUUGGCUAGUUCUGAACCUUUAUUCUAGUGAUUGAAUUCUAAGACCAGCUUAUCAAACUCCAUGUAAUGCCCAUUUCAGAUUUUGUUUGAAAUUUGAACAUAUAAUGUCAGAGAAAAUGUACAUUUUAAGAUACUGGUGGUGUAUCCAUGAACAUUGUAUACUCACUCUGGCUUUUCUUUGAGUUUUUCCUUUCUUUUUUAUACUUCAGUUUAUUUGGUGUAAAUUUUUUUUGAAAUCCUUGUAUAGUUUUACCAUAAUGCACAUUUUUCAUUUACUUUUUGAAGAUCCCUGUAUAGAUUUUUUUACUUAUCUUAUUCAGUUUUAACAGAUUCAAUGUAAUUUGUAGAUAAAAUUAUGAGAACAUAAUGGUAUUCUCUUUCUCCCUCCCUUCCUCUUUACCCUUCUCUCCCUCCCAACCUCCUUCCUACUCCAAUCUCUUUUUUUUUUUAGUUUUUGAGAUAACAUCUUUUAAAUUUACAUUAUAGUAAAAAGGCUUAAUAAUUCACUAAGAAGUUUAACAAGUAAAAAGCAGAGACCCUAGUUUAGUGGGAAUACAGACAAUGGCUUGAAUGGAAAAAUGACCAUUUCAUCUGUAUACAGAGAAUCUCAAGAAACCUGACUUCACUUAACCUAACAGAAAUGCUGUGGAAAG